AGUGCGUCUUCGCACUUACGCGGAGCGGUAAUGUGAGGAAGCCUCCCGCCAAACAGAUGAGGGAGGAGGAGGAGGGGAGAGGCCAGAGAGAGAAGCGGCUUUCGGGAAGGAAAGUGUGAUCUAGUAGGUGGAAUAGUCCUCUCCAAACUUUGACCUGAGGUGUGACUAUUGAAUGACCCUCUAUUUGGAUUUGGAUUACACAAAGUUUAACGUUUUUUGGAAAAAUCCUACCUAGGUAAUGUGUAGUUCUCAAUGCAUCAUGUCAGGCAGCUUAUGAUGCCAAUUUGUCCCAUGCCUCGAGGUCUUUAGGAAAACGGUGACUCUGGAGCACAGCCCUGGAUCCCUGAUGGCAGGUGGAUGAAUCUGCUCCCCACCUGGAUGCUGCUAGUCCUUUCUCCAGGCUCCGUGACUGAAAAUGUGCUUUACUUGGCAAAAGCUGUUUCUCCUCAGAACUCUAGAAAUCAGAUCUUGGCCCACCUCUUUCAGAGCUGAAGUUGGAAAUAUGGAAUCCUCCCAAGCCGCUCAGAAAGUUUGAAGACACAGGGGGCAGGGACCCAGACUUAUGGAAGUCUCCGCCUCAGGCUGAAGAGAAUACAUAAUGAAAAGCUGCAUUUUCUGGGUACAUGCACACAUUUGGAGCGGAUGAACCAUAUGUGAAGCGACAUACAAUGCUGAAUGCCGGCUGAAUGGCGUCCAGCGCUAAAAACACCGCGAGCGCAGGAACAAAAAGCCGGCGAACAAGAGCCAGCGCCAGGCUUGCCUCUGCUGGAACACCAGGGGCUUCGCCGCGAAAACAUGGGUAUAAUUUCACUGUUUUCACUCACACAAGCUGUGGGAAAGGAGUCACCAUCUGAUGUUUGAUUGUGUGGGAUAUGUUUUUGGCAGUGGCCUUGUAUUCCUCAUUGACAAAAAAAAAGAAAAGAAAGAAAGAAACAAGAGAAAAGGGGCAGAGAUGGAGGGGGGAGGAAAAUAAAAAAGAAUAGAGCUA
rnacentral:lncRNA from 1 species